CUACGGAGGAUCCGAGCGUUAUCCGGAUUUAUUGGGUUUAAAGGGUGCGCAGGCGGCCAUUUAAGUCAGCGGUUAAAUCGUGGGGCUCAACCCCAUUCUGCCGUUGAUACUGGGUGGCUUGAUUGCGGUCGAGGUUGGCGGAAUUCGUUGUGUAGCAGUGAAAUGCAUAGAUAUGACGAAGAACACCGAUUGCGUAGGCAGCUGACCAGACCGCAAAUGACGCUCAUGCACGAAAGUGCGGGGAUCGAACAGGAUUAGAUACCCUGGUAGUCCGCACAGUAAACGAUGAAUACUUGUUUUCGGCGAUAUAAUGUCGGAGGCAAAGCGAAAGCGAUAAGUAUUCCACCUGGGGAGUACGCCGGCAACGGUGAAACUCAAAUGAAUUGGCGGGG
rnacentral:rRNA from 1 species